UCGAAGGCAUAAGACCACUCUCAAGCUUCUCUCUCGUACAAGCACCUAUGCAAAAUGUCCGUUUUCAUGCUGUAUUUUGGUUCUGUGACAGGAACUAGCCGCCUACGCACGUGCGUAAUUUAUACGAGGACAUAGAACUGUGUUUGUGUAAUUUUGUAAUCAGAGGAACUGUCAGAAACAGUGGAUAACGAUGCAGAAAAUCCAAUUUGAUGGAGUACAUGAGAUAUACUACGAAGCAUUGAUAUACUCAUACUUGUAAAAGAGGAUCUAAUGAUCAUGCGAAGGAUGCCUUCUGAAAUUUUUCUAGGAAAUGGAGGAACUCUACAUCGUUCCUUGAUGUUUAUACUGAAACUCGGCUGGCAGU